UACAGAGGGGGCAAGUGUUGUUCGGAAUUACUGGGCGUAAAGGGCGCGUAGGCGGCCUGCUAAGUCGAACGUGAAAUCCCCGGGCUCAACCCGGGAACUGCGUCCGAUACUGACAGGCUUGAAUCCGGGAGAGGGAUGUGGAAUUCCAGGUGUAGCGGUGAAAUGCGUAGAUAUCUGGAGGAACACCGGUGGCGAAGGCGGCAUCCUGGACCGGUAUUGACGCUGAUGAGCGAAAGCCAGGGGAGCAAACGGG
rnacentral:rRNA from 1 species